rnacentral:rRNA from 1 species
GUCUACAGCCAUGCCACCCUGAACACGCCCAAUCCCGUCUGAUCUCGGAAGCUAAGCAGGGUCGGGCCUGGUUAGUACUUGGAUGAGAGACCACGUAGGAAGAACGGGAAGAAGGAAAAU